CCCAUGCCAUGAUGCCAUCUGUCACUAAGCCACACUGCCCCGCAGCCCUCACCAGAGCCAGCUUCCGUCCUCCGAAGUGUGAAUUAAACCCUGUGCCUGCAGUGGGGACAGAAUGCAGACGGACUUAAGAGCAACUCCUGCCCCUGUGAGAGGCUUACACAGUUGGGACUGGGAUGGGCACAGAACCCUGACAACCAGCAAGUUGAAGAUGCUGGGGUGGUGCUCCCCUGAAUCAAGGCAAGGACUGAGUGACGUGGGACACAGCAGAGUUCUCCAGUGAUGUCUUUCUACCCCAGCACCAACCUGCACUCUGGCCAGGCUGGAACACCCCCAUAUUCCAUCUCCACACACAGCCCAUGCAGCUAAUGCAGGACUCGGGCCUUGGGUUCCCCUGACCCACUUCCCUCCACUGAGCAACUGUCAGUAGAAACACACAACUUGCGGGGCUGAUGGCCCUGGCUCCAGGCUCCUUGGUAAGCCAGUCAGGUGUCUGCCAAGAGACUGGUCUCUUUAUCCUCACUUAAUUAAAAACGGCACGCCAUUGCCGAGCCCAUCCACUCAUGGCUCUCUCUUCCCUCAAUAGCCAGCAUUAACCUUUACGAAGAUGUUUCAUGAGCCAUUUGCCUGCACCUCUUUCUGCGUGUCCAGGUGUAAUGAGGUUCAGAAACGGCCAGGCCCGGGAGAGGACAGAUGUGAGAGAUACUCCAGAUGACAGCAGGGUACAGCAGGUCCCGGGGCUGCCACACAGGCAUAGCUGUGUAUGUGACCAUGCCAAAGCCCAGGUCUGAACCACAGACCCCUGGAUUGGCCAAGGCCAGGUCUUCUCAAACAAGCAAACUCCCAUGAGCCAAGCAUAGCAGGGGCAUAUUGAUUAGGUCCCACUGCUCUUCAGUCCACAGCCAGUCCAUCCAGCUCUGCCUGUCAC
rnacentral:sRNA from 1 species